GAAAUGCGAUACGUAGUGUGAAUUGCAGAAUUCCGUGAAUCAUCGAAUCUUUGAACGCAUAUUGCGCUCGAGGCUUCGGCCGAGAGCAUGUCUGCCUCAGCGUCGGGUUAAUAUCGCCCCUCCCCCUCCCCUGUCACACGUAAAAGUGUGAUGCGAGAGGGCGGCGGUGGCGGACCUGGUUGUUCCAGCGAGCGGGCCUCUCACGAGACCCGAUCAGCGAGCUGGAUCAGCUGAAGUUCAGAGGUUAGCUCAAGGACCCGUCAAGGGCCGCAACUGGGUAGGCAGCUCACGCUCGCUUCUAGUUGUUGGCUUGGGACCAUGGGCUCGACCCUCAAACAGGAAAAUUAACCUAUUUUCUCGACCUGAGCUCAGGCAAGAACACCCGCUGAACUUAA
rnacentral:misc_RNA from 1 species